GUUUUCUUUAGUGAUCAUACCUUCAAUGAUUUCAAUACUCUCUUCAGAUCUCUCCCUCCAGAAAGACCAUAUUUUGCUGCUGGUGUGCCAGGGUCAUUCCACGGGAGGCUNNNNNNNAUUUUGUCCAUAGCUCCCAUGCUUUACAUUGGAUCUCCCAGGUGCCAAAAGAGAUCCUGGAUAAGAGCUCACCUGCAUGGAACAAGGGCAGAAUUUACUACACAGGUGCACCAGAUGAAGUUGGAAAAGCUUAUGCCAUCCAGUUUGCAAAGGACGUGGG
rnacentral:misc_RNA from 1 species